rnacentral:rRNA from 1 species
AAGUCCCGCAACGAGCGCAACCCCUACGUUUAGUUGCUAACGCGUGAAGGCGAGCACUCUAGACGAACUGCCGUUGACAAACGGAGGAAGUGGGGAUGACGUCAAAUCAUCAUGCCCCUUAUGUCUGGGCUACACACGUGCUACAAUGGCCGGUACAGACGGAGGCGAAGCCGCGAGGCGGAGCAAAUCCGAAAAAGCCGGUCUCAGUUCGGAUUGCAGGCUGCAAUUCGCCUGCAUGAAGUCGGAAUCGCUAGUAAUCGCAGGUCAGCAUACUGCGGUGAAUACGUUCCCGGGCCUU